GCCUAUACAUGCAAGUCGAGCGGACAGAAGGGAGCUUGCUCCCGGAUGUUAGCGGCGGACGGGUGAGUAACACGUGGGUAACCUGCCUGUAAGACUGGGAUAACUCCGGGAAACCGGAGCUAAUACCGGAUAGUUCCUUGAACCGCAUGGUUCAAGGAUGAAAGACGGUUUCGGCUGUCACUUACAGAUGGACCCGCGGCGCAUUAGCUAGUUGGUGAGGUAACGGCUCACCAAGGCGACGAUGCGUAGCCGACCUGAGAGGGUGAUCGGCCACACUGGGACUGAGACACGGCCCAGACUCCUACGGGAGGCAGCAGUAGGGAAUCUUCCGCAAUGGACGAAAGUCUGACGGAGCAACGCCGCGUGAGUGAUGAAGGUUUUCGGAUCGUAAAGCUCUGUUGUUAGGGAAGAACAAGUGCAAGAGUAACUGCUUGCACCUUGACGGUACCUAACCAGAAAGCCACGGCUAACUACGUGCCAGCAGCCGCGGUAAUACGUAGGUGGCAAGCGUUGUCCGGAAUUAUUGGGCGUAAAGGGCUCGCAGGCGGUUUCUUAAGUCUGAUGUGAAAGCCCCCGGCUCAACCGGGGAGGGUCAUUGGAAACUGGGAAACUUGAGUGCAGAAGAGGAGAGUGGAAUUCCACGUGUAGCGGUGAAAUGCGUAGAGAUGUGGAGGAACACCAGUGGCGAAGGCGACUCUCUGGUCUGUAACUGACGCUGAGGAGCGAAAGC
rnacentral:rRNA from 1 species